UACGUAGGGUGCAAGCGUUGUCCGGAAUUAUUGGGCGUAAAGAGCUUGUAGGCGGUUUGUCGCGUCUGCUGUGAAAUUUCGGGGCUCAACCCCGAACUUGCAGUGGGUACGGGCAGACUAGAGUGUGGUAGGGGAGACUGGAAUUCCUGGUGUAGCGGUGAAAUGCGCAGAUAUCAGGAGGAACACCGGUGGCGAAGGCGGGUCACUGGCCCGGUACUGACGCUGAGGUGCGAAAGCGUGGGGAGCAAACAGG
rnacentral:rRNA from 1 species